AGAGUUUGAUCCUGGCUUAGGAUGAACGCUGGGCGGCGUGCCUAACACAUGCAAGUCGAGCGAUUUACUUCGGUAAAGAGCGGCGGACGGGUGAGUAACGCGUGGGUAACCUGCCUCAUACACAUGGAUAACAUACCGAAAGGUAUGCUAAUACAGGAUAAUAUAAGAGAUUCACAUGGUAUUUUUUAUCAAAGCUGCGGCGGUAUGAGAUGGACCCGCGUCUGAUUAGCUAGUUGGUAAGGUAAUGGCUUACCAAGGCGACGAUCAGUAGCCGACCUGAGAGGGUGAUCGGCCACAUUGGAACUGAGACACGGUCCAAACUCCUACGGGAGGCAGCAGGUGGGGAAUAUUGCACAAUGGGACGAAAGCCUGAUGCAGCAACGCCGCGUGAGUGAUGAAGGCCUUCGGGUCGUAAAACUCUGUCCUCAAGGAAGAUAAUGACGGUACUUGAGGAGGAAGCCCGGCUAACUACGUGCCAGCCGCCGC
rnacentral:rRNA from 1 species